rnacentral:rRNA from 1 species
GGGGCAUGGCGGCAGCCUACCAUGCAAGUCGAACGGUAGCACAGAGAGCUUGCUCUCGGGUGACGAGUGGCGGACGGGUGAGUAAUGUCUGGGAAACUGCCUGAUGGAGGGGGAUAACUACUGGAAACGGUAGCUAAUACCGCAUAAUGUCGCAAGACCAAAGAGGGGGACCUUCGGGCCUCUUGCCAUCAGAUGUGCCCAGAUGGGAUUAGCUAGUAGGUGGGGUAACGGCUCACCUAGGCGACGAUCCCUAGCUGGUCUGAGAGGAUGACCAGCCACACUGGAACUGAGACACGGUCCACACUCCUACGGGAGGCAGCAGUGGGGAAUAUUGCACAAUGGGCGCAAGCCUGAUGCAGCCAUGCCGCGUGUAUGAAGAAGGCCUUCGGGUUGUAAAGU